rnacentral:lncRNA from 1 species
UGACUUGGCAACUCAACAAGACAGUUUUGGGGAGGAUUAUAACAUUACAGAGAGAUGCUGAGUUAGUGCACUCAUAGUGGAAGUGUUUGAUUAUGACAUUAGCGACAUGGUAGUUGCUGAGUUAGUGUUGUCAAAUUGUGAAGUGUCAAGAGGUGUGGGGAAGUCAUUUCUUCAAGCAGACAAGGACAAAAUUCAAGAGGCUGAUGAAACAGCACAUGAUGAUCACAUACAGGAAGCACACAGUCCUCCUACAUGUACUUCAGUCAUGAGAGAAUAUAUGGCUCGUGCUUGAUGAGUUGCUAAUGAGGUUCAAAUAGCUUCUGAAACUGACACAGGAUUAUCAUCAAAUAUGUGAGCAUCUGACUAGCAAGGUGUAAAUUAAGAUCGAUGUUGUAUUCACAAGAAAGUCUUUAAGAAAAUGCGCUGGUACUGCUGGCAACCGGCAAGGCUUAUUCGCUGGUAGAAUUUCUCUGUUCAAAAUAUGAUCUUACGAUGGAACUGGACUACCAAAAGGAACGCGAUAAUGUUUGUCUGUGGUUUCUAUUGGCCAUGUCAAUGAUUGUUUCAGUAAUGGAGAUUUUGUUCAAACUCCGUGGUAUCAAGUGAUUCUUAACUAGGAAAAGGUCCAUAUUACCCACCCGACUUUCAGGUUCAUGUGUUUCAACCACCUAAAAUUCCUCAAGGUAGGACGCACUGGGAAAACUGAAGUAAAAUAUCUGCACGUUCGAUGGACUUGAGUCUAAUCUCUACCUAUCCGAACAGACUUAUGUGAGGUACCGGGGAAUUAGCGCUGUUGAGGAAAGGAGACGAAGUUACUGGCAGCGAGGAAGCAGCUGGCC